rnacentral:SRP_RNA from 10 species
GCUGGGUGCAGUGGUGCACACUGUAGUCCAGCUACUCGGGAGGCAAGGUGGGAGGAUGGCUUGAGCCCAGAAGUUUGGGGCUAUAAUGCGCUGUGCCAGUCGGGUGUCUGCACUAAGUUUAGCCCCCAAAUAAUGACCUCUCAGGAGUGCAGAACCCUCAGGUUGCCUAAGGAGGGAUGAAACUGCCCAGGUUGGAAACAGAGAAGUUCAAAAUUCCCAUGCUGAUCAGCAGUGGGAUGGUUCCUGGGAACAGCCACUGCACUCCAGCCUGGACAAUACAGCGAGAACCUGUCU